rnacentral:rRNA from 1 species
UACAGAGGGGGCAAGCGUUAUUCGGAAUUAUUGGGCGUAAAGGGCGCGUAGGCGGCUUGGCAAGUGGAUGGUGAAAUCCCACAGCUCAACUGUGGAACUGCCUCGGAUACUGGGAGUCUCGAGGGUGGUAGGGGUAUGCGGAACUAUCGGUGGAGCGGUGAAAUGCGUUGAUAUCGAUAGGAACUCCGGUGGCGAAGGCGGCAUACUGGACCACAUCUGACGCUGAGGCGCGAAAGCCAGGGGAGCGAACGGG